rnacentral:rRNA from 1 species
UUGCAGUUAAAAAGCUCGUAGUUGGACUUGUGUGCGCUGUCCGCGGGUGGCCUGCGCCCAAAAGGGCGUUUCGGUUCGGCCCCGGUGGCGCCUUGAAAUCUGCAGCUGGGGGGACGUUGGCCUUAACUGGUCGGCGACCGCACGCCGGCUGCUCGGUUACUGUGAGAAAAUUAGAGUGUUCAAGGCAGGCAUUGGGUGCAAUUGAAUACAUUAGCAUGGAAUAAUAAAAUAUGGCUCCUGCCGUAUUUUGUUGGUUUUGACUGGUGGGAGUAAUGAUUGAUAGGGACGGUUGGGGGUGCUAGUAUUGAGCGGCCAGAGGUGAAAUUCAUGGAUUCGCUCAAGACUAACUUAUGCGAAAGCAUUCACCAAGGACGUCCUCUUUAAUCAAGAACGAAAGUUGGGGGAUCGAAGACGAUCAGAUACCGUCGUAGUCUCAACCAUAAACUAUGUCGACUUGGGAUCGGCGGUAGUUUUUUCAUUAAGACACUGUCGGGACCACGGGAGAAAUCAAAGUGUCUGGACUCUGGGGGAAGUAUGGUCGCAAGGCUGAAACUUGAAGGAAUUGACGGAAGGGCACCACCAGGAGUGGAGCCUGCGGCUUAAUUUGACCCAACACGGGGAAACUUACCAGGUCCAGAGAUGUAGAGGAUUGACAGAUUGAAGCUCUUUCUUGAUCACUUCGGUGGUGGUGCAUGGCCGUUCUUAGUUGGUGGAGUGAUUUGUCUGGUUAAUUCCGUUAACGAACGAGACCUCAGCCUGCUAGUGUAGUCGGCUGGAUUGCCUUUGGCGAUCCGUGAUUUCGACUUCUUAGAGGGACAAUCGACGCGCAGUCGAUGGAAGUUUGAGGCAAUAACAGGUCUGUGAUGCCCUUAGAUGUUCUGGGCCGCAUGCGCGCUACACUGCUGGGCUCAGCGAGUUUUACUUGGCCGAGAGGCCCGGUUAAUCUUGUGAAAUCCCAGCGUGCUUGGGCUCGCCUCCUGCAACUGGAGGCGCCAACGAGGAAUUCCUAGUAGACGCAGGUCAUCAACCUGCAUCGAUUACGUCCCUGCCCUUUGUACACACCGCCCGUCGUUCCAUAAGAGUGAGGCAUCCGGUGAAUUCUCGGGAGAGCCUGGGCGUGGCCAGCAAUGGUCUGCUCGGGUUUGAACUUGCAUAAACUUGGUGCCUAUGAUUAGGG